AAAAAUGUUUUCUAGGGUUCCGCAAUUUUUAAUAUUGGCCUGGUCCGAGAGAAAACUCACGCUAGUCGUGUCACGGAAGGAUAAAAGCCUGGGAGAA
rfam:Bacillus galactosidilyticus strain PL133 scaffold000085, whole genome shotgun sequence.